CCAGCCUUAGAGGAACCAGAUGCAGCCGGGUCUCAAAUGAAUUAGCUCCCUACGUUAUCAAUUCCAAAGGACUGUAAAACAAGUACCUACAUGUUGAAGAGAGAAGGUAUAUGCACGUUGAAGAAAGAAAAUAAUUUAUCAAGACUGUGGACUCUUCCAGGAAAGAAGAAAUCAGAAAACAUCACCUUUUCUCCACACCCACCCUCAACUUCCACUUCUGUACUAUAGAAGCAAAAUUGAUUAGGCUGGCUAAUUUGAAGAGAAAAAGAUGAUAGGGGCUUUGUGCUUUAGAGGUAGAAGAGGGUAAUAGUCAGGUUCACUCUGACAAAGCCCACUAGAGAUGGUAGACCCACUGGUAGAAAUGGCUACCUGGAUACCCAAGGAGAGCAUUAAUCAUCCCAUCUCAUAUCUGAGCUCAGUACUGGGGGAGGGGAUAAUCAGGUCUCACCAAACCUGGCAGCCUUCCACUGUACGUGUGGGCAAAGACCAACAGCAGUGGUGUUGGUGGUGGAAGUUAUCCAAGUCACAUGGCAACAAGAUAUGUUAUCGGCAGCCAAUCCAUUUGGGUCUGUAGCAACCUCAAUUCUUGUCUCCUCAGAGGAAUGAAUUUGAGGGGCAUAAGGCAGAAAGAGCUCUAGGCAAGUUUUAGAACAAGAGUGAAAGUUUAUUAAGCUUUAGAGCAGGAAUGAAAGUGUACUUGGAAGAGGGCCAAGUGGACAGCUUGAAAGACUAGUGCACAGUUUGACCUAAUUUGACCUUUUUUUUUUUUUUUUCCUUUUGAAAUGGAGUCUAGCUCUGUCGCCCAGGCUGGAGGGCAGUGGCGUGAUCUCAGCUCACUGCAACCUCUGCCUCCUGGCUCAAGCAUUUCUCCUGCCUUAGUCUACUGAGUAACUGGGAUUACAGGCAUGCACCCAGAGUUAGGGUAUCCUGGCUCCCAGUGAAGGGACUGGCCAAUUAAUUUUAGUCAUAAAAACUACACACCCAG
rnacentral:lncRNA from 10 species